UUUGCUCUGUGUGGUUGUGAGUCAUAGAGGAAGAUUUUGGGGGAGUAGCUGCUGGUGUGAGGGCAAAUUCGGGGCUCUGACUGCUGAAGGUGUUGCUGUAACUAGUGCAGGCCCGGUCCUCUGCAAGGCUCUGCAGUGUUGUUCAUGUUGCAUCAAGUCAAUGAGAAGUGCAGGUGUCUUUCACUGAUGUUGCUGCACUGGCCAAGAGAUUGCAUGUCAGAUUUCACUGGUGGGACCACAAAGGGACUGCUAUCCAUCAAGGACGUACGGAGAAAGAGAAGUCAGCACAAGGAAAGUGCUUUAAAUGCGAUUUGUCUGGAAUAAGUUGCCUGAGAGCAAUUCCACAUGAGCAACACUAGCGUGAUGCUUUCUGUUCAGCCCUUAUUUAAAAUGAUUUAGAGAGAGUUUUGUUUUAAUAUGGAUAAUAAGGAGCAUCAAUCUAUUGUAUCAUGGUAUAACUUCAGAAGUAAAUGUUUGUUAUUACUGUGUUUAGUAAACAGUUCAAUUCAGUUGUCUGGCUUUUGUGUUAUCCAUUUUGAAAUGUGGUGAGAAAACAAAGUACACUUUCUUCCCAUGAGUUCCUGCUAUUGUAAAAAAACCUUCAUGCUAUCUGCUCUGCAAUGUUCUAUCUGUCCUGCAUCUUAGUAUCUGUA